AGAAGAAGAAGAAGAAGAAGAAGAAGAAGAAGAAGAAGAAGAAGAAGAAGAAGAUGAGUAAAGUGCCUCUGUGGUAUCAGUAACGAGUUAUGCCAGGCCUUUUACUUUGAAGGGGAAGCAAACGUUAGAGCCGGAAGUCGUAGUAUUGUGCUUGCAUCUCAUUGGCUAUCGGAGUCAAUUACUUCCUGAAACAAAACGGUCUAAAAAUGCGGUCUUUUUUACCUGCAGUAGCUGAACAACUUUUCCGAGACAUACAAAAAACCUAUCAGGAGACUUCCCAAAUUCCUGAUGACCUGCUUAUUGCGCUGAAGUUUGUCUUCGGGCCCUGUGCGCUGCAGGCUCUGGACCUUGUUGACCAGCACUCAGUCACCUGUGUGUCCUCUCCCAGUGGACGCAAAGCAUU